AGGAAUAUUGGUCAAUGGACGAGAGUCUGAACCAGCCAAGUAGCGUGAAGGAUGACUGCCCUAUGGGUUGUAAACUUCUUUUAUACGGGAAUAAAGUGAGGCACGUGUGCCUUUUUGUAUGUACCGUAUGAAUAAGGAUCGGCUAACUCCGUGCCAGCAGCCGCGGUAAUACGGAGGAUCCGAGCGUUAUCCGGAUUUAUUGGGUUUAAAGGGAGCGUAGGCGGACGCUUAAGUCAGUUGUGAAAGUUUGCGGCUCAACCGUAAAAUUGCAGUUGAUACUGGGUGUCUUGAGUACAGUAGAGGCAGGCGGAAUUCGUGGUGUAGCGGUGAAAUGCUUAGAUAUCACGAAGAACUCCGAUUGCGAAGGCAGCUUGCUGGACUGUAACUGACGCUGAUGCUCGAAAGUGUGGGUAUCAAACAGGAUUAGAUACCCUGGUAGUCCACACAGUAAACGAUGAAUACUCGCUGUUUGCGAUAUACAGUAAGCGGCCAAGCGAAAGCGUUAAGUAUUCCACCUGGGGAGUACGCCGGCAACGGUGAAACUCAAAGGAAUUGACGGGGGCCCGCACAAGCGGAGGAACAUGUGGUUUAAUUCGAUGAUACGCGAGGAACCUUACCCGGGCUUGAAUUGCAACUGAAUGAUGUGGAGACAUGUCAGCCGCAAGGCAGUUGUGAAGGUGCUGCAUGGUUGUCGUCAGCUCGUGCCGUGAGGUGUCGGCUUAAGUGCCAUAACGAGCGCAACCCUUAUCGAUAGUUACCAUCAGGUUAUGCUGGGGACUCUGUCGAGACUGCCGUCGUAAGAUGUGAGGAAGGUGGGGAUGACGUCAAAUCAGCACGGCCCUUACGUCCGGGGCUACACACGUGUUACAAUGGGGGGUACAGAAGGCAGCUACACGGCGACGUGAUGCUAAUCCCUAAAGCCUCUCUCAGUUCGGAUUGGAGUCUGCAACCCGACUCCAUGAAGCUGGAUUCGCUAGUAAUCGCGCAUCAGCCACGGCGCGGUGAAUACGUUCCCG
rnacentral:rRNA from 1 species